rnacentral:rRNA from 1 species
UACGUAGGGUGCAAGCGUUGUCCGGAAUUAUUGGGCGUAAGGGCUCGUAGGCGGUCCGUCACGUCGGGAGUGAAAACUUGGGGCUUAACCCCAAGCCUGCUUCCGAUACGGGCGGACUAGAGGUAGGCAGGGGAGAACGGAAUUCCUGGUGUAGCGGUGAAAUGCGCAGAUAUCAGGAGGAACACCGGUGGUGUAGACGGCUUUCUGGACCGUAACUGACGCUGAGACACGAAAGCGUGGGUAGCAAACAGG